UUGGGCUCAAGAGAGGAUCCAAGUCUGUGGGAGAGAGAGUAUUAAACAGUCACCACAUGCAUGUUUUUACACUGCACACCCUAGGUAAAACCAAUGCAGUGGUGCUGCUAGUGCACGCUGCACAUAGGUCUUCGAAUUUUGAAUUUGCCUUGGGUAAUUUUAACACAGUUUGGGACAUAAUUCGUUCAUUAUAAUUCUA
rnacentral:lncRNA from 1 species